rnacentral:rRNA from 1 species
UACGGAGGAUCCGAGCGUUAUCCGGAUUUAUUGGGUUUAAAGGGUGCGUAGGCGGCCUAUUAAGUCAGGGGUGAAAUACGGUGGCUCAACCAUCGCAGUGCCUUUGAUACUGAUGGGCUUGAAUCCAUUUGAAGUGGGCGGAAUAAGACAAGUAGCGGUGAAAUGCAUAGAUAUGUCUUAGAACUCCGAUUGCGAGGGCAGCUCACUAAGCUGGUAUUGACGCUGAUGCACGAAAGCGUGGGGAUCGAACAGG